rnacentral:rRNA from 1 species
UGGGGAAUUUUGGACAAUGGGCGCAAGCCUGAUCCAGCCAUUCCGCGUGCAGGAUGAAGGCCCUCGGGUUGUAAACUGCUUUUUGUACGGAACGAAAAGGCGCGGGUUAAUACCCUGUGCUGAUGACGGUACCGUAAGAAUAAGCACCGGCUAACUACGUGCCAGCAGCCGCGGUAAUACGUAGGGUGCGAGCGUUUAAUCGGAAUUACUGGGCGUAAAGCGUGCGCAGGCGGUGAUGUAAGACAGGUGUGAAAUCCCCGGGCUUAACCUGGGAACUGCAUUUGUGACUGCAUUGCUGGAGUGCGGCAGAGGGGGAUGGAAUUCCGCGUGUAGCAGUGAAAUGCGUAGAUAUGCGGAGGAACACCGAUGGCGAAGGCAAUCCCCUGGGCCUGCACUGACGCUCAUGCACGAAAGCGUGGGGAGCAAACAGGAUUAGAUACCCUGGUAGUCCACGCCUAAACGAUGGUCAACUGGUUGUGGU